UAUAGUUACUAGAACCUCGUAGCAGACUACAGAGACUUCAGGGGCUUGAAACCACAGCUCGGAGCAUCGCGAACACUGGGUUCAGCCAAAGGCCUUAAAUACAAGCGUACGGCGACGCAACAAUCGUGCACUUAAAUAUUGGACAGUCUAGACAGAGCAGAGGAGUCAGUCUCACUGCUACUCAGAACAACAUUUCACGCUGUCCAGCUCAAACACAGACUACAGGCAUGUAGUACAAAAGUGUGUGAAACACAGAGCAUAAAGGUUUUAUGCAUAGAUCAGGAAAACAUCAGAACUUAGUCAAGCAACUUCAGCAAGCAUAGCAUUGAUUGUGAUCAAGUCUAAAAUAGCCUGGAAAUAAGUUUCUCUCAUCAAUUUGGAAGGCUAAGUUUUAGGUUGUCUGUUAGUAUCCAGAAGUUUUGUUUGAAACGCCUCACGCAGGGGCACCAAAAUAUAUGUAGUGAUUUGAAAUGAGCCUCAUACGGUCGCACCAAAAUAUAUGUAGCGAUUUGAAAUGAGCCUCACCAGGCCGCACCAAAAUAAUACUUGGCGAUUGGAAUUUAUAAUAAAUGUCUGAAGAUUAAUAAUCUCAAAUUAUGACAUUUAUGCACUCGUUGAAAGGGGCACCACCCACCCUUAAUGGUGGGAAAAUAAAGAAAACAAAAGUUUAAUUCAGAAAUCAAACAUCAAGUCAGUUUUAAUUAAUCAGUCUUAAUUAAUCAGUCUUAAU